rnacentral:rRNA from 1 species
AUUCCAGCUCCAAUAGCGUAUAUUUAAGUUGUUGCAGUUAAAAAGCUCGUAGUUGGAUUUCGGGUGGGUACCGCCGGUCUCCCUUCGGGUAUGUACUGGCGUGGCCCGCCUUGCUGUCGGGGACGGUCUCCUGGGCUUUAUUGUCCGGGAAUCGGAGUCGACGAUGUUACUUUGAGUAAAUUAGAGUGUUCAAAGCAAGCCUACGCUCUGAAUAUAAUAGCAUGGGAUAACACGACAGGACUCUGGCCUAUCGUGUUGGUCUGUAGGACCGGAGUAAUGAUUAAGAGGGACAGUCGGGGGCAUUCGUAUUCCAUUGUCAGAGGUGAAAUUCUUGGAUUUAUGGAAGACGAACAUCUGCGAAAGCAUUUGUCAAGGAUGUUUUCAUUA